CCUAAAUACAUAUAAAGGAAAUAUUUAUUCGGAACACAAUCAAAAUGUCCAUACGUAGUAUCCAUCAAACGAGAAAUGCUAUCCGCUCUGGAUGGUUCAAUUUAGAUACUGCUUCUAUUUGACUGAAAUUGAGUGCGGCAGUUAGAUCAGACGCAUUCGUAUAUAUUAAGAUUUUAAAAACUAUAAGAGAUAAAAAAAACACAAUUGAGGGAGAGCAAAAUAAAAAAUGGCUAGAAAUAGAGAUUUUGCUGAAAAGGAUUUAAAUGUUGCGCGCUCCGAAUCACAAUGCGAGAAAAGCCAAACUUUUUUCCUAUUGAUUUGAGCAUAUAAACCCUGUAUGGUGAGUUUUCCUCUGUCACAAACUUCGAUUAUUCAUUUCACUUCAAUCCUGAAAAGUAAGAAACUUUUUUAAGUCCCCUUUUAUGGCUUAGACUGUAUUUCAAUGUGGCACAAAGAACCGCACUAUAUUAUGUGCUGUUUAAGCCGCUUAAGGCCAUAUCACUAAAAUACAAGAUGCAGACAAAAAAAAAAAGAAGGAGAGCACAGAAUGCUGACUGAACAACAAUACCAACAACAAUGAAUAGAAAUUAAAAGCCAAAAGAAAAGUUGGAAUAUCGAGCCAAAUACCAAAACACAUACAAACAGAAUUUGUUUUGCUUCUCUCUGAAAAAAAUGCUGAGAAAUUGAGAGCUUGGGACAAAAGUUCCAGUGCCGCAAAACAAAAUGAGACAAAAUUAAAAUAAAACUGUGCUAAUUGAAUUGCUGAAAAAAUUAACAUGUAAUAAAAACGACACA